AUGGUGUCAGUUUCAGCAGACUUAUUCAUUGGCAAAUUUGUAGCCAUUCUUGAGAGUGAAGCCGGCUCCAUAGCGGGUGUUCGAGAUCAAGUUGAUGAGAUUAAGCAGGAGCUAGUAUUCAUGAAAUCCUUCUUAGAGGAAUUCAUGUAUCACAUGUACGAGCAGCAAAUCGGCGGUCGAUUUGCAAGAUGGAUCAACAACGCCAUUCACUUUCCGAAGAAACUUUGGUAUAAACGUCAAAUAGCUAACAAGUUACAGAAAAUUUCCGUGGCAAUUAGAGCUAUUACAGAGAGAAAUCAGAGAUAUGGUGGUGCUGCAGCUGUAGAAGGAAAAAGUACUUCUGAGGAGAUUCGGAGAUGGGUGCAGAACCAAGCGGAGUCUUCUCUUUAUCAGCAGGAGGAUGAACUUGUCGGGAUUGAAGGCGAUAAGAACAUGUUACUGGGAUGGCUGAUGGAUGAAGCGAAGCACUAAACUGUUGUGUCCGUGGUAGGGAUGGGAGGAUCAGGGAAGACAACUCUAGUUGCAAAAACCUUCAAAGAUGACAUUGUAAAGAGACAUUUCGAAUGCUCUGCGUGGAUUACUGUUUCCCAGUCUUAUGUGAUUGAAGACUUACUUAGAAGAUUGAUCAAAGAAUUCCACAAAGCAAAUAAGGAAGUGGUCCCUGCAGACAUGAAUGCCAUGAGUUAUAACGAAUUGCUGGAGAUUUUGGUGAACUACUUGGAGACUAAAAGGUACCUAGUUGUAUUGGAUGACGUGUGGGAUGUCCACCUUUGGGACAAAAUAAGGUUUUCAUUUCCAGAUAACCAACUUGGAAGUCGAGUCAUGCUUACAACUCGAAGAGAAGACAUAGCAUCCUCUUCUUUUGGAGUUGAAAGCCAUGUUCACAAGAUUCAACCGCUGGAAAUGGGUUAUGCGUGGGAGCUCUUCAGCAUGAAAGCAUUCUCAAGUUAUCAGAACAAAUCUUGUUCACCUGAACUUCUGCCAUUAGCUCGGGAACUUGUGGAAAAGUGUGAAGGCCUACCACUCGCGAUCGUAGCCUUAAGUGGUCUCAUGUCUUCGAAGAAGUCACUUAGUGAUUGGAGCAAAGUCUACAAUAGCUUAAAUUGGCAUCUAAGAAACAAUUCUUUGUUAGAACCUAUGAAGAGCAUCUUGUUGCUUAGUUUCAAUGAUUUGCCAUACAGAUUGAAGCAAUGCUUUCUAUAUUGUUCCCUUUUCCCAGAAGAUCAUGUGAUCAUAAAUAAAAGGCUCAUUAGAUUGUGGGUCGCUGAAGGAUUUGUUGAACAUGUCAAAGGGGUCACACCAUAAGAAGUUGCAAAGAGCUAUCUUAUGGAACUCAUUUUUCGUAACAUGCUACAGGAAAGGUUUGUAGUACUCAACCCAGCAUGUAAGAUGCAUGAUCUUUUGCGGGAGAUUGCUCUAUUUAUAGCAAAAGAAGAAAAGUUUUGCGGUGUACAUGAUGGGAGUGAAACAGUAGAAGAAACUGGGGCACUCCGUUUGUCAAUUCAAACAACUAAUGGAGAAAUUGGAUCAUGCACAGGUAUAUCACGACUCCGUUCGUUUCUUGUCUUUGCCACUGGCGUAUCCUCAUUCUCUUUCUCAAAUAAAUUACCUUUUGACCUUAAACUGUUGAAGGUUCUAGAUUUGCAGUAUGUCCCAAUAGAUAAUCUGCCAGACAGAGUAACGUGCUUAUUCAAUUAAAAAUAUUUAAAUUUGUUGAGAACUCUAAUUAAGGAGCUUCCAGAAUCCAUUGGACAGCUCCGCAACCUUCAGACCUUGAACAUCACGGGGACAAAAAUAGAGGCACUUCCAAGAGGAAUUUCCAAGUUGCUAAACUUACGCCAUUUACUUAUGAGGCCUGACUAUGAUGGUUUGGAGAUAAUUGGGGUAAAAACACCAUCAAGUAUUGGUAAGAUGAAGAAAUUGCAAUCUUUGGCGUAUAUUGAAUCAGAAGGAAACAUUAUUAGACUUAUUGGAAGUAUGACCCAGCUUACGAGCCUUGGCAUUACAAAUGUAAAAGAAAGAGACGAGGAGGACCUAUGUGCCUCAAUUCAAAAGAUGAAGGUCCUUUCCCACUUGACUUUAGUUGUAGCAGAUGGAGAGGAAUUUCUUCGAGUUGAGGCAUUGUCUUCACCGUGUCCCUACCUUGAUAGACUUAAAUUGGUCGGCAAACUGGAAAAGGUACCACAUUGGUUUUGUUCACUCCACUCUCUCAUAGAUUUGAAUCUGCGUGGGUCCAGACUUGAAGAAGAUUUACUACCUCAUAUUGAAGCAUUGCCCUCUCUAAGUUCUCUUUGGCUUGAUAAUGCCUCUGUUAGGAAAGAGUUAUGUUUCAACAGAGGCUUUGUGAAGCUUCAGCAAUUGUGGUUUUGGGAUCUCGCAUUAUUAAGUAAGAUAACUAUAGAAAAAGGGGCGAUGCCAAAUCUCGAGUUCUUAAGCAUUGUUAGUUGCUUGACAUUAGAAACAUUGCCACAGGGUAUUGAGGACCUUGCUAAACUACAAGGAUACAGAUUUGAUGAUGUUUCAGAAAAGUUUAGAGAGUCCGUAGAAGAAGGAGGUGUGGAUCAUCCAAGGAUGCUACUCAUCGACGAGAGAUGUAAGAAAUAUACAAACAAGUUCUGGGAUUGAAGAUUUUACCCAUGAGUUUGUGGGUAGGAAGAACUUGUUCGUCUUGUUUUGAC